UGGGGAAUAUUGGCGCAAUGGGCGGAAGCCUGACGCAGCAACGCCGCGUGCGGGAUGACGGCCUCGGGCUUGUAAAACCGCUUUUCAGCAGGGACGAAGCGUGAGUGACGGUACCUGCAGAAGAAGCACCGGCCAACUACGUGCCAGCAGCCGCGGUGAUACGUAGGGUGAGAGCGUUGUCCGGAAUUAUUGGGCGUAAAGAGCUCGUAGGUGGUUGAUCGCGUCGAAAGUGAAAUCUCAGGGCUUAACCCUGAGCGUGCUUUCGAUACGGGUCGACUAGAGGAAGGUAGGGGAGAAUGGAAUUCCUGGUGGAGCGGUGGAAUGCGCAGAUAUCAGGAGGAACACCAGUGGCGAAGGCGGUUCUCUGGACCUUUCCUGACGCUGAGGAGCGAAAGCGUGGGGAGCAAACAGGAUUAGAUACCCUGGUAGUCCACGCCCU
rnacentral:rRNA from 1 species